UCUCGCCUUCUCUCUUUCGUUGUAAAGCAAGUUAUCAGUUUCUUCAAAUCGAGCGUCAUAUAUCAGUAGCUUUUCGUGAACAACAACUAGCAGUUUUUUAUGGAAGACGCUGCUGUAGCGAUUUCAGAAGCCUCAGUUCGCCGUUCGAUCGAUUCUGACGACGUUCUUGAGGAUGUUCGCCUGAAAUUUAAGUGCAAUCGUGUUGUUGGACUGCAACCGCUGUUAAAUUUGACCAUAUUAGCUUGAUUGGUACAUCGUCUUGACAGAGAAAGUAGUGGGAUCCUCUUGAUGGGGAGGACAAAGGAGAGCGCUUCUUAUCUUCAACAAUGUUAUCAUCAUUAAUGUGGCAAAAA